rnacentral:rRNA from 1 species
AACGUACGCUGGCGGCACGCCUAACACAUGCAAGUCGAACGCAGUAGCAAUACUGAGUGGCAGACGGGUGAGUAACAUGUGGGAAUCUGCCUUGUGGUUCAGGACAACAUUGGGAAACCGAUGCUAAUACUGGAUAAGCCCUUACGGGGAAAGUUUUAAUGCCAUAAGAUGAGCCCGCAUUUGAUUAGUUAGUUGGUGAGGUAAUGGCUCACCAAGGCAACGACGGGUAGCCGGCCUGAGAGGGCGACCG